rnacentral:rRNA from 1 species
UGGAAACGAUUGCUAAUACCCGAUGUGCAGAAAUGUGAAAGAUUUAUUGCCUAGAGAUGAGCUCGAGUCUGAUUAGCUAGUAGGUGUGG